rnacentral:rRNA from 1 species
GAUGAACGCUAGCGGCAGGCUUAAUACAUGCAAGUUGAGGGGCAGCAUGAUAUGCGCGAGUAUAUUGAUGGCGACCGGCGGACGGGUGAGUAAUAGGUAGGAGACCUACCUCAUACAGGGGGAUAGCAUAGAGAAAUCUGUGGUAAUACCCCAUGAGGUUAUAUGAAUAGAGGCAUAUAAUCAAAGCAUAAGCGAUUAUGCGGUAUGAGAGGGGCCUACUGACCAUUAGCUAGUUGGUGAGGUAAGGGCUCACCAAGGCGAAGAUGGUUAGGGGUUUUGAGAGAGAGACCCCCCACAUUGGAACUGAGAUACGGCCCAGACUCCUACGGGAGGCAGCAGUUGGGAAUCUUAGGCAAUGGACGAAAGUCUGACCUAGCGACGCCGCGUGAGGGAAAAGGCCUUGGGUUGUAAACCUCUGUCAUGGGGAAGAAGUAAGUGACGGUACCCAAGAGGAAGCCCCUGCUAACUACGUGCCAGCAGCCGCGGU